GGGAUGGGAAGAAACUGCGUUUCACAGAUCUUUGUGAGAGAUGUUCCCGGUAGCUGUAAGAGCACUGUGGAGAGUGAGUUGUUUCUUAGCUUCCCAAAGAGCUGGAAGCAAGACCGUUUGUGGCUUGUCUCCUUUGGUGGCAAUGACUCAGCGUUUUGUGUCUUCCAUCACUAGACUAAUUUGGGACAUGGCUUAGAGCAGACGUUCCAAGGCAGUGAGAUCAUGGCUGGAAACAAACUGCAUUUCAGGCCUUAAUAUGAGAGUUUCCCAAUAGGCUGUAAGAGCGCUGUUGAAAGCGAGUUCUUUCUCACCUUCCCAAAGAGCUGGAAGCGACACGGUCUGUUGCAUGUCUCAUUUUAAGGAAGACAGGGAGGCCAUUGUGACUUCCAACUCUAGGGAAAUGUAUUACACGGCAGAGCAGAAGUUCUACUUCAGUGAGAUCAGGGCUGGGAGGAAACUGCGUUUCAAAGGCCUUUGUAAGAGAUGUCCCCGGUAGGCUGUAAGAGCACUGUGUAGAGCAAGUUGUUUCUUAGCUUCCAAAACAGCUGGAAGCAAGGCCGUUUGUUGGUUGUCUCAUUUGGUGGGAAGGAGUCAGCGCUUUGUGUGUUCCACCUCUAGAUCAAUGUAGGACAUGGCUUAGAGCAGAAGUUCCAAGGCGGUGAGCUCAUGGCUGGAAACAAACUGCAUUUCAGGCCUAAGUAUGAGAGGUUCCUGGUAGGCUGUAAGAGCCAUGUGGAAAGCGAGUUCAUUCUCAACUUGCCAAAGACUGGAAGUGAGACGGUCUGAGGCCUGUCUCCCCUUAAGGAAGCCGGGCAGGCCAUUGAGACUUCCACCUCUAGGUCAAUGUAUUACAACGAAGAUCAGAAGUUCUACUUCAGUGAGAUCAGGCCUUGGAAGAAACUGCGUUUCACAGGCCUUUGUGAGAGAUGUUCCCACUAGGCUGUAAGAGCACAUUGGAGAGCGAGUUGUUUCUUAGCUUCCCAAAGAGCUGGAAGCAAGACGCUUGUGGUCUGUCUCCCCUUGAGGAAACAAGGCAGGACUUUGUAUCUUGCACUUCUAGGGCAACAUAGAACACGGCAACGCAGAAGUUCUACUUCAGUGAGAUCAUGG
rnacentral:lncRNA from 1 species